GGUUCAGCUUAUACUUUGCAUAAGUUUACCGUUUGAAAAUAAUUCCCGCCAAAAGGUGCCUGCGACAGCAAGCAACUUCGUAAACAAAGAAUUAAUUGCAAACUAGAACCAGUAGAGUGUUUGACCCGGCUCUAUCAGGUAAUUAUCUUGCGAAAUCUCCUUUUUUUAUUUAGUCGCAACUAGGUAUAAAUAGCAAAUUAUUAAAAAAAGUUUCAUAUCAAGCUCGAAGUUUGGUUCCCGGUCCAGGACUCGAGAAGCCGCUGCAGUUCCGGCCAGAUACAGUAGUUACAGCAAGAGAAGCUCUGGCAGACGGUCCCGAUCCCGAUCGAAAUCUUGAUAUCUGCAAAGCUCUGCGACUCGGAAGUGGAAGUGAAUGGCAUCGAGCAGAUCCCCGAAUGCUGGUUCUGAUCACAAAGAAGGAAAAUCAGGAACAAUGACAAACCAGUGCAAUUUUCGACGUGGAAGGUGAAGGAAUUUGCGGUGUCGGAGGCGAUGGUUGCAACAUCGUAAACGACUUCGAGCUGAU